rnacentral:lncRNA from 10 species
GUUUAAAAUUACAAAAUACCUUUUGGAACUUUGCCAUCUAUAAGGGAGGUUAAAACAACUGUUGUUCGGCAAGGCUGAUGAAGUUUUCUAUGUAUUUUUAUUUUGAGUUAUUCUCUUCAGCACAUGAUAGGUCUGAGGAUGGACUGGUUUGGUGGAUGUAGGCUAGGCUCAGUUGAGUGGCUCUACAAUAGGUUGCAGAAUGAGCUCAAGUCUGUUGAACAAACUUCUAAUCUUCCUUGGAUCAGCAGCUCUUCUAAUGGCAAGAGUGCAGGUGCAAGCUAAACCAUUUAAGCAUUAUGAACUAUUCAUUUAUAUCCUUUGCCCAGUUUUUUGUUGGUUUCUUUUAAGCUUUUAAGGCAUCUGGACUUUGUAUCAGUUACAAAAGGGUUUUCCCACUGUAAGUUGACUUCCAACAAUUUUUAGUUUUUUUAUAUUGAAAUUUUUGAGCUACUUAUAAUGCAUUCCUUGGUGUAUGAUAUAUGGAUCCGACUUAAUUUUUUUUCCCAAAUGGCUAUCAAUUAAUGAAUAAUCUAUCUUUUCUUUACAAAUUUGAAGGACCAUCUUUAUUGUAUUCUAACUUCUGUAUGUAUUUGGGACUCUUGAUGGAUUUUCUAUUCUAUUUCACUGGGCUGACAAUUCACACAGUUUUAAUUACUAUGGCAUUAUAAUAUGUUUUACUAUCUUAUAGUAAGAUAGUAAAAUCUUAAAUUCCACUUUCUGCUUUUUGGAAUUUUCCUGGCUACUCUUGUCUGUUUUUAUGUUUCCAUACAAAUUUUAAAAUCAUCUUACCUAAUUUAAACAUGAAAAUGUACUCUUGAUAGUCUUAUUAGGAUUGUGUUAAAUCUAGAAAUUAACACAGAGGCCUGAUAUCCUUGUGAUUUUGAAUCUUUUCCAUUUAAGUAUGCUUCUCCAUUUUUUCAAGUAUUUGUUUGUGUCCUUCAAGUCUGAUUUACAAGUUUUCUUAGGCCGGGUGUGGUGGCUCACACUUGUAAUCCCAGAACUUUGGGAGGCCGAGGUGGGCGGGUCACUUGAGGCCAAGAGUUG